rnacentral:rRNA from 1 species
UACGAAGGACCCAAGCGUUAUCCGGAUUCAUUGGGUUUAAAGGGUGCGUAGGCGGGCCUAUAAGUCAGUGGUGAAAGCCCUUCGCUUAACGAAGGAAUUGCCAUUGAUACUGUAGGUCUUGAGUACAGUUGAGGUGGGCGGAAUGUGUCAUGUAGCGGUGAAAUGCUUAGAUAUGACACAGAACACCGAUUGCGAAGGCAGCUCGCUAAACUGUAACUGACGCUGAGGCACGAAAGCGUGGGUAGCAAACAGG